rnacentral:rRNA from 1 species
UGAGGAAUAUUGGACAAUGGAGGAAACUCUGAUCCAGCCAUGCCGCGUGAGUGAAGAAGGCCUUAGGGUUGUAAAGCUCUUUCAAUAGUGAAGAUAAUGACGGUAACUAUAGAAGAAGCCCCGGCUAAAUUCGUGCCAGCAGCCGCGGUAAUACGAAUGGGGCAAGCGUUGUUCGGAAUCACUGGGCUUAAAGCGUGCGCAGGCGGACUUGAAAGUCAGGAGUGAAAUCCCAGGGCUCAACCCUGGAACUGCUCUUGAAACUCCAAGUCUAGAAUCCGGGAGAGGUUGGGAGAAUUCCUAGUGUAGAGGUGAAAUUCGCAGAUAUUAGGAGGAAUACCAGUGGCGUAGGCGCCCAACUGGACCGGUAUUGACGCUCAUGUACGAAAGCGUGGGGAGCAAACAGGAUUAGAUACCCCCGUAGUCC